AUUAGGGGGUGACAGAAGAGAGGGAGCACACAUAGUUGUUUUCUUGCAUAUGCAAAAUAUAAUGUUGUGUUGAUUAAUUCUCCAUAAAUGAUAUAUUAAUGCUUGAAGCUUUGUGUGCUCUCUAUCUCUCUGUCACCCCUCUAAC